rnacentral:rRNA from 1 species
UACGUAGGGGGCUAGCGUUGUCCGGAAUCAUUGGGCGUAAAGCGCGUGUAGGCGGCCCGGUAAGUCCGCUGUGAAAGUCGGGGGCUCAACCCUCGGAUGCCGGUGGAUACUGUCGGGCUAGAGUGCGGAAGAGGCGAGUGGAAUUCCUGGUGUAGCGGUGAAAUGCGUAGAUAUCGGGAGGAACACCAGUGGCGAAGGCGACUACCUGGCCUGUUCUUGACGCUGAGGCGCGAAAGCUAGGGGAGCAAACGGG